AUUGAACGCUGGCGGCAUGCCUUACACAUGCAAGUCGAACGGUAACAGGUUAAGCUGACGAGUGGCGAACGGGUGAGUAAUGUAUCGGAACGUGCCCAGUCGUGGGGGAUAACUGCUCGAAAGAGCAGCUAAUACCGCAUACGACCUGAGGGUGAAAGCGGGGGAUCGCAAGACCUCGCGCGAUUGGAGCGGCCGAUAUCAGAUUAGGUAGUUGGUGGGGUAAAGGCCUACCAAGCCUACGAUCUGUAGCUGGUCUGAGAGGACGACCAGCCACACUGGGACUGAGACACGGCCCAGACUCCUACGGGAGGCAGCAGUGGGGAAUUUUGGACAAUGGACGCAAGUCUGAUCCAGCCAUGCCGCGUGCGGGAAGAAGGCCUUCGGGUUGUAAACCGCUUUUGUCAGGGAAGAAAAGGUUCUGGUUAAUACCUGGGACUCAUGACGGUACCUGAAGAAUAAGCACCGGCUAACUACGUGCCAGCAGCCGCCGCUGUAA
rnacentral:rRNA from 1 species